rnacentral:tRNA from 1 species
GGGCUCGUGGUGUAGCCUGGCCUAACACGCCGGCCUGUCGAGCCGGAGAUCGCGGGUUCAAAUCCCGUCGAGCCCGCCA